rnacentral:rRNA from 1 species
AUGUCCCAGGCAGCGUACGAGCACUUCCCAUCCAUCCUAGGGGCCGCUACUGCGCGCACUCAUUCCAUCAGCCUCGACGCCAUCAACCACAGAAGCUUCGACCUACUCGAGCUCGACAAUCCAUUCUCCGAGUAGGAGAUUUGGGAGGCCAUCAAGAAAAUGCCAAUGGGCAAGGCGCCCGGGCCAGACGGAUUCACCUCCGACUUCCUCCGGGCAUGUUGGCCCAUCAUCAAGGCCGACAUCUAUGAGGCCUUCGACAAGCUCUAUUCCAUGAACGGGUAGGGUUUUCACAAGCUAAACGAGGCCCUACUCAUCCUACUGCCCAAGAAACCUGAUGCCCACGCGAUCACGAACUACUGGCCCAUUAGUCUGAUCCACAUCAUCGCCAAAUUGUUCGCCAAGGUGCUCUCGUUGCGUCUCGCCCCAAGGAUGGGGGAGAUCAUCUCCGCCAACCAAAGUGCAUUCAUCGCCAGCCGGUGCAUGCACGAUAACUUCCUGCUGGUUCAGCAGACGGCCCGAUUCCUCCAC